GGCAGAGGGAGCCCGGCUCCCGUGUCCCGGCCCGCAGACGCGCAAGGGACAUGAGGAAAGUCCCCCCACUGUCCGGGCAGGCGACCGGGCGCAAGCCCGGGGCGGGAGACCGCUGGCGCUGGAACAGAAACGAGACCCCUCUCCCCGACCGAUGAGGUGUGCGACCCCGUGCCCGAGAAAGGCGCUGCCCGACGGUGGCGCCGACAAAGGGCCGGGCAGUGAACCCACCGAGGGCCGACGGGAGAGAACGGAUGGAACGGCGAAUCCUCGCCGGUGCAAGUCCGGACCACAAGGUAGCCCGGACGCGGUUCGGACGCGCAGCUGAAUGCCGGGCCGAACAGAAGGGGGCUUACUCCCCUCAGCC
rnacentral:RNase_P_RNA from 1 species